rnacentral:rRNA from 1 species
AGUGAACGCUGGCGGUAGGCCUAACACAUGCAAGUCGAACGGCAGCACAGGAGUGCUUGCUCUCUGGGUGGCGAGUGGCGGACGGGUGAGGAAUACAUCGGAAUCUACUCUGUCGUGGGGGAUAACGUAGGGAAACUUACGCUAAUACCGCAUACGACCUACGGGUGAAAGCAGGGGACCUUCGGGCCUUGCGCGAUUGAAUGAGCCGAUGUCGGAUUAGCUAGUUGGCGGGGUAAAGGCCCACCAAGGCGACGAUCCGUAGCUGGUCUGAGAGGAUGAUCAGCCACACUGGAACUGAGACACGGUCCAGACUCCUACGGGAGGCAGCAGUGGGGAAUAUUGGACAAUGGGCGCAAGCCUGGUCCAGCCAUACCGCGUGGGUGAAGAAGGCCUUCGGGUUGUAAAGCCCUUUUGUUGGGAAAGAAAUCCAGCUGGCUAACACCCGGUUGGGAUGACGGUACCCAAAGAAUAAGCACCGGCUAACUUCGUGCCAGCCGCCGCCGUAA